ACCAUAUCGCGUUGAAACAUCGGUUCCCGUACGACCACCGAAGUUAAGCAAUGUCGAACCUGGUCUGUAUCCUAAAUGAGUGACCGCUUGAGAAUACCAGGGGCUGUAAG